CGGACCAAACUCCUACGGGAGGCAGCAGUGAGGAAUAUUGGUCAAUGGCCGAGAGGCUGAACCAGCCAAGUCGCGUGAGGGAUGAAGGUUCUAUGGAUCGUAAACCUCUUUUAUAAGGGAAUAAAGUGCGGGACGUGUCCCGUUUUGUAUGUACCUUAUGAAUAAGGAUCGGCUAACUCCGUGCCAGCAGCCGCGGUAAUACGGAGGAUCCGAGCGUUAUCCGGAUUUAUUGGGUUUAAAGGGUGCGUAGGCGGCCUUUUAAGUCAGCGGUGAAAGUCUGUGGCUCAACCAUAGAAUUGCCGUUGAAACUGGGGGGCUUGAGUAUGUUUGAGGCAGGCGGAAUGCGUGGUGUAGCGGUGAAAUGCAUAGAUAUCACGCAGAACCCCGAUUGCGAAGGCAGCCUGCCAAGCCAUUACUGACGCUGAUGCACGAAAGCGUGGGGAUCAAACAGGAUUAGAUACCCUGGUAGUCCACGCAGUAAACGAUGAUCACUAGCUGUUUGCGAUACACUGUAAGCGGCACAGCGAAAGCGUUAAGUGAUCCACCUGGGGAGUACGCCGGCAACGGUGAAACUCAAAGGAAUUGACGGGGGCCCGCACAAGCGGAGGAACAUGUGGUUUAAUUCGAUGAUACGCGAGGAACCUUACCCGGGCUUAAAUUGCAGAUGAAUUACGGUGAAAGCCGUAAGCCGCAAGGCAUCUGUGAAGGUGCUGCAUGGUUGUCGUCAGCUCGUGCCGUGAGGUGUCGGCUUAAGUGCCAUAACGAGCGCAACCCUUGCCACUAGUUACUAACAGGUAAAGCUGAGGACUCUGGUGGGACUGCCAGCGUAAGCUGCGAGGAAGGCGGGGAUGACGUCAAAUCAGCACGGCCCUUACAUCCGGGGCGACACACGUGUUACAAUGGCGUGGACAAAGGGAAGCCACCUGGCGACAGGGAGCGAAUCCCCAAACCACGUCUCAGUUCGGAUCGGAGUCUGCAACCCGACUCCGUGAAGCUGGAUUCGCUAGUAAUCGCGCAUCAGCCAUGGCGCGGUGAAUACGUUCCCGGGCC
rnacentral:rRNA from 1 species